UCCUGCAAAAGUGCAUUAUUUUCAAGGAGAUUCAUGGAAAAGACACUGAUUGACAAGUACAGAUUCCUGAUAGCUAAGAUCAAUUUGCCUUCACGUGGGAGGGGCAGCAAGGGACCUUUCAAGUGCUUCUCCAGGGCUACCUGUACAAUCCCACAAUAUAUCCUGGGAUAUUAGCUGGAGAUCUGCCCCUGUUUUCCUUCUCCAAGUAGGCUGCAGGACACUCUGCAAGCUUUGCUGGAACAUCUGUAAGAGAGAGGAUGGGAGGUAAACCGACAUAAAAUUCAAAGCUCAGGCACAGCUGAGGUUUUCGGGAGUCAUUUGGUCAGGUGAGUCGUGCAUUGUCCCAGAGGCUGUGAUUGAUAAGGUGCAAGCCUAUCCAACCCCUAAGGACAUGAAAAAGCUACAUACCUCUGUAGGGAUUUGGGGGUUUGGGAAGAUUUUUAUUCCCCACCUGGCACAGUGCCUCCAUUCCUUAUAUUUCCUGAUGAAGAGAGGGCAUGUGUGGGACUGGGUAUCAGAGCAACAAGCCAGUUCUAGAAAGGCAAAAGUACUAGUGAGGCAGAUUAAAGCUGUGGGCAUCUCCCACACAGGGCUACCAUUUGAGUGAGAUGUGUCUGUGACUCCGGAAGGUAUGGGUUGGGCACUGUGGCAGAGACAACAGAAGAAAAGAAUAUCCUCAGAAUUUUGGCCCCAGCUCUGGAAGGGGCUGGAAACCCAAUAUACCUCCAUAGAGCAACAGCUCCUGCCAGUGGACACAGUGUUCCUCCAGGUAGAGCCUGUCAUAGAGGAACAUUUUAUUGUGGCAAGAACCUCCCGUCUUGCCUAGGGGUGGGUUGAGAACAUAUCCCAUUGACCCAGCUCUGCCAUGGGUUGAACUCCAGUCUCCACUAGGAUCGUAUUGAUUUCCUGCAGGCCAGAACUGUUGAAACACACUAUACCUAGAAUGGAACAUGCACCAUUAAAAGGGGGAAGAAGGGAGGGAUUCCAGUCCUAUCCCCAGUCUGUCUCCUCCCGCCUGGCAAUGCUGCCUCCCCUGGUGAAAAUGUAUAGUAUGUAAAACCAGGUCACAUUCCCAAAGCUGCCAACCUACCUCUCCUCGAGGCCAGUGGGCAUGUUCUGUUUUCCACUGUUACGCUCAUUUAGCCAACAUCUUUGUCCCCUCCAUUGGCCUGGGGACAUUAUAAUAUAUAGAGAAGCCCUUGCUACAUUUACUCAGCAAGGCUUAAUUGAUAGCCAACAAACCUUGUCCUUACUGAAUACUGAAAUUUCUCAUAUGAGAAAAGCUAUCCUCCAUAAUAGAAUGGCCUUGGAUAUUAUUAUUGCCUCACAAAGGAACACCUGUGUCAUUACCCAGAGCGUUGUGUGUUCAUACCUGAUGAAUCUGCCAAUGUAUCAUCUCUGUUAAAUCACAUGAGGACACAAGUGGACACCCCCAGUCUAGGGGACUUAGUAAAUCAAUAGUUGGAAUCCCGAGGCUCUUGGCUCUUGUGACUUAUUUUGGGAAUCAAUUUAGUCUGUUUUCUCUUGCAUGUGCCCAUAUUGUUGCUGUGCUGCCUACUGCCAGUACAGCCAGAUAGCCACCCAACAAGCUACCUCCAUGCUAGUGAAACCCCUUGCACACCACUCAGGGCACACUUGGAAGAGGUGGGUGUGUAGGAUUGUAGGAGCCAGCCAACAAGGGGUGGAGUAUUGGAGGAGAACAUCAAGACUGCCAGUUGACCCUCAAGCUGGACCCAAGCAACUGGAGACUACUUCUUCCCUCCCCUGUCCUUGAAUAUACGCUCUGCCUACCAUUCCCACAGUGAAGGUUGUUCCAAGGGCAGAGCCUCGAGAGAGCAAUUUGUUGUUGAGGCCAUCUGGACUGAAUACAUGAUUGAUCCCAGUUAAGGCCUCUACAUGAACUUUUGGGAUUUGACAAGCAGGUAUAAAGAUCGACUCAUCUUGCAGCUGCCCAAGACAAGCCCUGUGAGUUCUCUGCUUAUGAAACCUGCCACCUACCAGACCUACCAGUCUGGAGCAGUCCGCCUCUUCUUUCGUCCCUCCUUGUCUUCUAUGUCCAGGGACAGUUUGCAAACCAACAUUCAUUGCAUUCAAUUAACCAAAUAUUAUCUAGAGUUAGCAUCAUAGUGGAUAUUGUAUGAGAAUCAAAGCAUUUAAUUAGUUAUACAUUUAUCACUCAGUGAAUAUUUAUUGAGAGACACCUGAUAGAUGCUGGAGAUACACUGGAAAGAAAUUAGACACAAAGUUUUCAGUCUGGCAAGGUUGGCAGACAUCAGUGUUAAAGUGCUAUGAAACAAAGAAGAGGUGACUAAUUUACUCAACACACAUUUCUUGACUACCUCUUGCGUUGUGUAAAGCGUGGAAAUUACAUAAACUGGGAAGUGGGUUAGCAGGGGCUGCCCGUAAGAGGAAUUAAGCACUAGCUAAAAUGUAGGGGCUUUCUGAAGUUGUAAGUAAACCAGUUGUGUCUCUGGUGCAUGAGUCAAGGAUCAUGAAGGAGGAAGUGGAAGAAAUUCCCUCCUGUCUUCCUACUGCCUGCCGUCAUUAGAGCCACUCAUCGCGUGGACUGCCAUUUCAAGGGGGACAGCUGGAGCAGCUAUGGGAACCACCUCAGGCUGGCAGGUGGAGAGGUCAGCAGAAGGGCUGCAGUGGCAGUGGAGGGAAAAAAGGCAGAGAGAGAAAUUCCCCGGACCAGGGGAGGCUCUGAACAAGCCCAGAUAUGUGAUCGCUCAGCUAGAGCAUUUCCGGCCUCCUAUUGGAAGUCAAUGGACGGAUAAUUAAGUUCUGGUCAAUGGAAUGUUAACAGAAAUGACACAUCCAUUUCUGGUUUAUCCACUGAAGAAGCUUGGCCGUCUGACAGCUUUUCACAGUCUCGAGCUUGAGGACCACACGCUCACGGUGAAGUUUACCAUCUCCCUCUGCCCCCUGUAUUUCCUGCAAAGCAGCAGCUGGAUCUAGAGGCUUGAUCCCCCUCAGGUUCAACCCCUAUAACAAGGCCACAGGAGGUACUUUGCUCUUUCAUCAGGAGUCCCCCUAAUUAAAGGUGGCAAAUUGAUUACCCCAAAUUCGUAAAACUAUGUAUAAAAUACAUUUAAGUAAUUAAACCUUUAAAUGAUAUGUUUUGUAAAUUUGUUCACACUUAUAUUUUUGAAAUUUUAAGUCUUAAAAUUGCCCCCAAACUUUUGGAACAUCCUAAAUAUAAUAUUAAGAUAAAAUACCUCAUGUGGUCCUAAUGAUUCUUGCAAUUCAAAUUCAGGCUUCUGGGUUUUUUACUAAAUCUCUUCAUUUUGUUCUAUCUAUAUCUCCUCUUGUGUACACCCAAAUUUUUGGCUCCCCAAGACACAAGAGAUGAUAGAAUUACAGUAUUAAUGUUUGACUACUCUUAACCAUAACCAUAUGUCUGCAUAAUAAUAGGGACCGGGUAAAAUACACACAAUCUCGUGUAAUCUGCCCUUUGAUUUUUGAGACCUAACUAGUGAAAUCAACAGUGUGCUGGUAAACUGUUUUAAGAUUGUGGAAACAAAUUGUUAUCCAGCUCAAUGUCUUUUUUAAAGAUUUUAUUUAUGUAUUUAUUUUAGAGAGAGAGCAUGAGCAGGGGUAGGGGCAGAGGGAAAGGGAAAGAAUCUCAAGCAGACUCUGCACAGAGCAUGGAACCCAAGGCAGGGGCCUAUCUCAUGACUCUGAAAUCAUGACCUGAAUCGAAACCAGGAGCUGGAUGCUUAACUGACUAAGCCAUCCAGGAGCCCCCCCUCAAUGUCUUUGAUUCACCUUCAUUUAAAAUUAAAGGGGCACCUGGGUGGCUCAGUCAGUUAAGGGUCUGCCUUAACAGGUCAUGAUCUGCUCAGGUCAUGAUCUCAGGGUCCUGGGA